CCCUUAGUAACGGCGAGUGAACAGGGAUAAGCCCAGCACCGAAGCCUGUGGCCGUUUGGCCCCUAGGCAAUGUGGUGUUCAGGUCAGCUCGCGGGGAUACUGCUCCACCCUAAGUCCUAUAAUGAGUAAGGUUACUCGGACGUGGCCCACAGAGGGUGAAAGGCCCGUGGGGGUGGAGACUCAGUUUGGCCAGUAUCUUCCUGAGCAGACCUUGGAGUCGGGUUGUUUGUGAAUGCAGCCCAAAGUGGGUGGUAAACUCCAUCCAAGGCUAAAUACUUGCACGAGUCCGAUAGCGAACAAGUACCGUGAGGGAAAGUUGAAAAGUACUUUGAAGAGAGAGUAAACAGUGCGUGAAACCGCUCAGAGGUAAACGGGUGGAGUUGAACUGCAAGCUCCGAGGAUUCAGCUGGUGAGAUUGGCAUGAGCUUGGUCAUGUGGGUUGUAUGUUCGGGUCUGCUUAGCUGCAGGUCCUCGCCUUUGGUGGGGAUGCGCGUAUCGCUUAUCAAGCGUUGUGCGCCCGGGCUUCUCGAGCCUUCUCGCUAGUGCACUUUCUCGGAGUGUUCACCACGACCGGCGUUGCUGUCUGGCUGGUGCGGUUAAACCGGUCUUGUAGGGUCCUCGUGGCCUUGCUUGGUCGGGAUGGCAGGUAGCCCGUUGUGUACUUCGGUGUGCUUCGGGUGUAAUAGCCGACUGCAUCGGUUCUGUGCGGUACGUCGGAGACGGCGGCUUGUUGUGCGUGCGGGCGUGCCUGUUGCGCUGGCGGCUCUGAGUCUGGUUGCCUUGUUGCUUGUAAAUGCAGGCCUGGUGAUGGCUCGGGGUCGUUUGGUGUGCGGUUGCGUUCGUGGCACUUUAAAGGGCCUAAAGUCUGUGGUGUAGUGGUAGACUAUCCACCUGACCCGUCUUGAAACACGGACCAAGGAGAGUAACAUGUGCGCGAGUCAUUGGGCGUUACGAAACCCAAAGGCGAAGUGAAAGUAAAGGUUCGGCUUGUCCGGACUGAGGUGAGAUCCUGUCGUUUCUCACGCCUGGUACUACCAAGCAUCGAGCGGCGGGCGCAUCACCGGCCCGUCCCAUGGCGUAGUGGCGGCCUCGUGCCUGCUCAUCGUCGGGGCGGAGCAUGAGCGUACAUGUUGAGACCCGAAAGAUGGUGAACUAUGCUUGCGCAGGUUGAAGCCAGAGGAAACUCUGGUGGAGGACCGCAGCGAUUCUGACGUGCAAAUCGAUCGUC
rnacentral:rRNA from 1 species